AGCCCUGGCUCCUGAGAGUUGUUGGGCUUGGAGUGCCCAGGUUAGCUUGGCAGCCAGCCCACUUAACAGCCACAUGCCUUAGACAAGCAGCUUUCUCACAGGAAUUUUGUGUGGCAGCCUUUUUGGUAAGCAAAAGAUGAGAACAGCUGGCAGUGGCUGUCAGCUCUUCCUCAUUGAGCACCUGAUGCCCAAGUGUGACAGGGUGUGGGAAAAGCUGAGCACCAUCUCCUGGAAGCAGCAAAUAUAAACCCACAACAGCAACAGAUGCUGGACCUGAUGCCCUACCUGGGAGCACCGUAACAAAGCCUGAUUUCUGUCUGGCUGCUCUUCUUCGUUUCUGCAUGCCUGGGGAUGAGCUCAGCCAACAUGCAGCCGUGGCUAACCUGGGCAUGCAGUGGACCGAGCUCUGAGGGAUCUGUGCACUGUGCAGAUGAGCUGGAGAGUGGGAUGGGCUGCACAGUCAUUCCUGGAGGCAACAGCAACAUGAUUCUCAGCGGUGGUCAGUGUUUGGCCCCCUUAUGCUGUGCAGGAGAGCAGGAUUUGCCAUCAGGGCUGGCAAGAAGGACUGGGCUGGGUCAGCCUGGCAGGAGGCAGGAUGAUGCCUGUGAGACUCGGUUAGAGGCUGCCUAUAAAUCCAGUGUAGGUUGUUGCCUGGUAAGCUCAGCCCACAGUCACCUGCAAACCUGCAGAAGAGAGGGCUGCAUCUCCCCAGGCUAUUCCUGCAGUCUCUAUGCUUUGAUAUGGCUCCCCCUUUUGUGUUUGUUCCCUCUCCCCUGGUCUAACCUCUGAAACAGUUGCAGUGAAUCACAUACUUUCCCUGUUAACCCACCAACCAGUGCUGCUGGCUCAGGUAGUGACAGGGACCAUGUGAACUUUCCUGUUCCUCUCAAAAUCACAGAGAAGACAGUGAGGGACCCUUGGAAAUGCUCUGGAUGCAUCUGUAGGACCACCUCGUGCCAUGCUCACCUCUGGUGUGAUCUACCCCCAGAUCUCUCCCAAGAGAGC